rnacentral:rRNA from 1 species
GAUGAACGCUGGCGGCGUGCCUAAUACAUGCAAGUCGAGCGAACAGACGAUGAGCUUGCUCCUCUGACGUUAGCGGCGGACGGGUGAGUAACACGUGGAUAACCUACCUAUAAGACUGGGAUAACUUCGGGAAACCGGAGCUAAUACCGGAUAAUAUAUUGAACCGCAUGGUUCAAUAGUGAAAGACGGUUUUGCUGUCACUUAUAGAUGGAUCCGCGCCGCAUUAGCUAGUUGGUAAGGUAACGGCUUACCAAGGCGACGAUGCGUAGCUGACCUGAGAGGAUGAUCGGCCACACUGGAACUGAGACACGGUCCAGACUCCUACGGGAGGCAGCAGUAGGGAAUCUUCCGCAAUGGGCGAAAGCCUGACGGAGCAACGCCGCGUGAGUGAUGAAGGUCUUCGGAUCGUAAAACUCUGUUAUUAGGGAAGAACAAAUGUGUAAGUAACUAUGCACGUCUUGACGGUACCUAAUCAGAAAGCCACGGCUAACUACGUG